rnacentral:rRNA from 1 species
GACGAACGCUGGCGGCGUGCUUAACACAUGCAAGUCGAACGGAAAGGCCCUGCUUUUGUGGGGUGCUCGAGUGGCGAACGGGUGAGUAACACGUGAGUAACCUGCCCUUGACUUUGGGAUAACUUCAGGAAACUGGGGCUAAUACCGGAUAGGAGCUCCUGCUGCAUGGUGGGGGUUGGAAAGUUUCGGCGGUUGGGGAUGGACUCGCGGCUUAUCAGCUUGUUGGUGGGGUAGUGGCUUACCAAGGCUUUGACGGGUAGCCGGCCUGAGGGGGUGACCGGCCACAUUGGGACUGAGAUACGGCCCAGACUCCUACGGGAGGCAGCAGUGGGGAAUAUUGCACAAUGGGCGGAAGCCUGAUGCAGCAACGCCGCGUGCGGGAUGACGGCCUUCGGGUUGUAAACCGCUUUCGCCUGUGACGAAGCGUGAGUGACGGUAAUGGGUAAAGAAGCACCGGCUAACUACGUGCCAGCAGCCGCGGUGAUACGUAGGGUGCGAGCGUUGUCCGGAUUUAUUGGGCGUAAAGGGCUCGUAGGUGGUUGAUCGCGUCGGAAGUGUAAUCUUGGGGCUUAACCCUGAGCGUGCUUUCGAUACGGGUUGACUUGAGGAAGGUAGGGGAGAAUGGAAUUCCUGGUGGAGCGGUGGAAUGCGCAGAUAUCAGGAGGAACACCAGUGGCGAAGGCGGUUCUCUGGGCCUUUCCUGACGCUGAGGAGCGAAAGCGUGGGGAGCGAACAGGCUUAGAUACCCUGGUAGUCCACGCUGUAAACGGUGGGUACUAGGUGUGGGGUCCAUUCCACGGGUUCCGUGCCGUAGCUAACGCUUUAAGUACCCCGCCUGGGGAGUACGGCCGCAAGGCUAAAACUCAAAGGAAUUGACGGGGCCCCGCACAAGCGGCGGAGCAUGCGGAUUAAUUCGAUGCAACGCGUAGAACCUUACCUGGGUUUGACAUGGAUCGGGAGUGCUCAGAGAUGGGUGUGCCUCUUUUGGGGUCGGUUCACAGGUGGUGCAUGGCUGUCGUCAGCUCGUGUCGUGAGAUGUUGGGUUAAGUCCCGCAACGAGCGCAACCCUUGUUCACUGUUGCCAGCACGUUAUGGUGGGGACUCAGUGGAGACCGCCGGGGUCAACUCGGAGGAAGGUGGGGAUGACGUCAAGUCAUCAUGCUCCUUAUGUCCAGGGCUUCACGCAUGCUACAAUGGCUGGUACAGAGAGUGGCGAGCCUGUGAGGGUGAGCGAAUCUCGGAAAGCCGGUCUCAGUUCGGAUUGGGGUCUGCAACUCGACCUCAUGAAGUCGGAGUCGCUAGUAAUCGCAGAUCAGCAACGCUGCGGUGAGUACGUAUCCCGGGGCU